AUUGCCUUCAAUCAUCAUUAAUCAGUCUUAAGUAAUACCGUUUUUAGACGAAGCCCAUGGCUUUGAAAUUGCUCGUUAGCAGCCUAUCUUAGUCCUAAAAUAGUCCUCGGAUGAGCCCUAUGACAAAUUGUAAUAAAUACUUAACUGGAUUUUUUAUUUGGAUCAAUAAUGUGAAACUGUGGCCAGAGUAUGAAACAUAGGCUGGGAUAUAUACUACUCCCGAUUUCAGAAUAAAUCAUAAAAAGCCAUUCUGCAAAAAACUAAUCAUUGAAACUUAAAAAGAGUCUGCGCCAAGGGCUGCU